rnacentral:tRNA from 1 species
GUUCAAAUAGCUUAAAUUUUAGAGUAUAAUAUUGAAGAUGUUAGGGAGAUUAAUUAAUCUUUGAAUA